UCGUAUCCCGAAGAUUAUUCAAUUUGCAAGUUCCUGUAUUCUUUUACUUCUGCUUCUCUUAAAAGAUUGCAUUGUAUCAGAAAACUGCUGAACUGGGAAUCUAGCUUAUGGCAAGUCCAAUUUGACGGUGAAUGCUCCAACAGAACCACAAACGAGGGAGGAUGUUAAGGCUCUUCUUAUAGCUGAAAACAAAGCUGCUGCUCGUCCUUCCAAACCACACUUUGACAGUAGUAAGCCUUUUACUGGUGGUAUCAUAGAACACACAACUGAUAUUGAUAUCAAUCCAAGGGUGCUCAGUCAGUCGCGGCUCAAAGCCAGUAUCAAGGUUCAAGAUGCAGAGGAAUUAACUGCAAAUUAUUUUUCUUCAUGAAGUCAACCGUACAGCUUAUGUGUAGUAUCAUAGAAACACAAUGUUCCCAAGAUAUCAAUCCAACAUAGACAAUCUCAGAUUCAAGUUGCAGAGAA